rnacentral:rRNA from 1 species
UGAGGAAUAUUGGGCAAUGCCCGCAAGGGUGACCCAGCAACGCCGCGUGGAGGAUGAAUGUCGUAAGAUUGUAAACUCCUGUUAGAGGGGAAGAAUAGUACCGGUUGGACCGGUAUAUGACUGUACCCUCAGAGAAAGCCCCGGCUAACUACGUGCCAGCAGCCGCGGUAAUACGUAGGGGGCAAGCGUUGUCCGGAUUUACUGGGUGUAAAGGGCGCGCAGGCGGGAUAAAAAGUCAGUGGUGAAAUCCUACAGCUUAACUGUAGAACUUCCUUUGAUACUUUUAUUCUUGAGUUCGGGAGAGAGAGACGGAAUUCCAGGUGUAGUGGUGAAAUACGUAGAUAUCGGUAAGAACACCAGUUGCGAAGGCGGUCUCUUGGUCCGACACUGACGCUGAGGCGCGAAAGCGUGGGGAGCAAACA